rnacentral:rRNA from 1 species
AUGGAUAUAGUAAGUCUCGCUUGGGCUGCUUUAAUGGUAGUCUUUACAUUUUCUCUUUCACUAGUAGUAUGGGGAAGGAGUGGACUCUAGGGAUACUACUAA